rnacentral:lncRNA from 1 species
AUGUGUGAAGACGAGAGAGUGGGGUGGGGGAUCUGCACUGUGCGAGAGAGAAGACAAGAGAGGCGACAUAAUUGGGAAUAGUUGGCUUGGAUGAGCAUCGCCUGUGUGAAUCCCCUUCUUAUAGGGUGGAAUGCGUAGAGGCAGCCUCUCCCCGUCGGAUGUGGCCACGCCUUUUUAGGCACACACCUCGAGCACCGUUUUGGUCCACCUCUCCCACGUCCCGCAUUUAAUGCGCGUCAUGGGUGGGCAGUAAAAACAUCAUUACAACCGUAGUGAAGUUCAACCAAGUGUGUUUGUGCACUAUUUUUGGCAUAGCCCAACAACGUCAAGGACUUAAGCGUGGCCCUGGCAUGGCGGCUCCUGUGAGUAUACUAAAGAAUUGGUCCUUUAGUACCCUGACUUGUGCAUGGACGACAUCAACCUCCUUCCUGGCAAGCCAUGACG